GAAUAAAUGGGGGGACUCGGGGGGUGACGAUGAUGUUGCUGGAGGAGCAGGCCAGUGAGAGAUGGGGGCUUUCAGCCCCAAAACGCCUGAACAAUCAUGGGUGGGGUGUUUAGUGGUACUGUGGGGAGGAGAAAUGUCUCCCUGUCCGUUGCAGAGAAAACAGAACAAUCCCACAUCAAAGCUGUCCUAGAGAAGUACUUGCUGUUUGUCAUUGCGGUUCUAGAGCAGCCCCAUGUGCUGUUAAAGGUUGUGGUGGUGCGGGUCAGGGAUCCCCAGGCUGUGCCGAGACCGCAGGACGGCUGCUGGUGGAACAAAGUCAAGGACAACUUCUCAGAGACAGGCGAUCCGGAGGGAAAGAAGGACAGAGAGAAGAGAGUUGGAAAAACUGGCAAUGUUUUACUAAUGCUAUAUUAAGAGUAGAGAAAAUAAUACAAAACCAAUCCUGAAAGUCUCAGCAACUGCAGAGCUGGCACCUGAAGUCCUGGACUGGACUAUGCAGCCAACCGGAGCUGGAUUCAGUCUCUCAGUAGGCCUCAGUUUGCAGGGACGACUAGCAAGGUCCUCUCCUAAUGUCACCAUAAGCAGAAGGGACGAAAAGGGGCAAAGAGGACAAGAUCCUCAUGAUCUGCCACUUCUGUAUGAAGUAUUCAUGUGAAGGGGAUGUUAUACACGGUUGGUCAGUUUGUUGGUCACCUGUUUCUUGUUGCUCCUCUUGCAAGAUGUGAAUCUGUCCUUAUCAACAAGUAAGCAUUCCAUUGCAUUGUUUACCAAAACAUGUAUCUGGUUCUCCAGGAAAAUGCAGCUAAUAUGAAGCUUUAGCUGACAGGCAAAUUCACUGAAAGAGAAACUUGUUUUUUAAUGAAACCAGGACAGCCCCCUCCCCAAUCCCCUCAGGACUCCUCUGAUUCCCAUCUGCUCCUCUCAGGACAGCUGAGCUUGUCUUUUGGGGCCCCUGAGAGCCCCCAUUUACCUUCUUUUACCUACCUUUGUUGUUGUUCCCAGCCUAUCCUGGUGUUUUCCAUCCUUCAGGACUUACUUAUUACUGUUGUGAGAGUCCGAGAGAAAAGGAAGAGUGUCUGUGACUUACAACUGUCGUUGUUGAUCUACAGUGUUUUAGAGACGGAUUCUUGCAGGAUCUAUUUCUGGUUCGUCCUUCACUCCUCCCCAGACCGCAGCGCUGGUCCGAGUUCCCCAGCACACGUGUGUGUGUCCAGCCGGGUACGCUGGGGGAGCGCGUCAGGGCGGGCAGACGGCUGAAUGGACGCGCUGUCAGCGACUGCGGAACGAGCUGGGGCUGCUUUGACCGUGUCCAGCCUUGUGCGUGUGGUUUGUUUUCACUUGCAGGCUGAAACAGCAGUUUCCUUAAUUAAAAACACCCCAACAUGUCCCCCGGCCCCCAACAAAAAUAACGCCAAAAAUGCCACUGAAAGAAACACAGGGAGUUUUUAAAAAAUUUCCUUUAGCUUUCUCCCCCCUCCACCCCUACCCUGCUGCGUUCAGUGCAGUGAAUGACCGUGAGGAGAUGGCUGUGGGUCUGGCUGUUGAAGGGUGUGUGAAGGAGAAGGAGGUGUGUGUAGAGCAGGAUUGGUGGUGGAGGUGAGUGCAGCUGGUUUGGGUGUGGGGCUGUAAAUUCUUUUUGGAGGCUUCCUAGUUUCUGGUGUCACCUGCGGGGUGAAGUGUGACUCUGUGCAGGUUUGAAAGGUGCAACGUGCAGAGCUCCCUCAUUUGCCACCAGAUCUCCCAAUCACAGAGACAGCGUCGCUGUGCAGCUGCUAAGGACAGCGCGUCUCGUGCAGAAGAGCAUCCUUUGUGCUCCGUGUGCGUGUUCCUCCUUUGAAAUGAAGUUGGGCCGCCCGGUGUUCCACGUUACGUGUGGUACCUGCUGGGCUGAGUCUCCUCCCCGCGCUCCGGUCGGUUCCGUCGCGCUGCCGCAGCCCCGGCAGCACCGCGGCGUUCGCUGGACGCGUUGUUGGCGGAGCCGGCACCGACAAUCUUGACACGUCGAGGCGCUGCGGUGGGUUUGCCUGGAAAUUCCAAGGUAAUUCCAAGGCAGACAGUAAUAAUCCCCAAUUUAUGUAGUAAAAUUUAAAAGAGUGGAAUAUAAAUACUGGAGCACUAAUUGGAAGUAAUACCUGUAGAGAAAAAAACCUCUAGUUUAUAUCUACAAUAAAAAAUAAUGUGUGCUAGUAAAUCCGCCUGGUAGUAAUGUAAUGAUAAAAAUGUUAAAGUGUAAAUAGAUGAAAUUAUAUAGGCAUGAGCAAGAAGUAAAUUUAAUUUCAGCUAUUACUUGGUGAACUAGGCAGCAGUUGUUCCCAAUCUGAAUGCUAGUUUAAAAAACACAUUGUUUGGAAUUCCUUUUAAAUGAUAAAGGCAGAAAACUAAUGUGGAGUCAUUGGUAGCUUCAUUUGAACAACCGUUAUGAAAUAAACUGCAGACACGAAUGACUGCAUAGGAAACAAAGUGAGGAAGCUUUAGAUUUUAAACAGCAUUGGAAAGUGAUCGGGAGUGUUUAGUAUUUAAAUUAUAACAGAGCCAUGAGAUGGGAGGCAACAAAGCUCAGAACCAAACAGAGUCAAAACGUUACAUUUCUUUUUUUAAAGAGAAGUAUAAAAGGAACCACGAAGUAGUGGCUGUUUAUAAACAGGGGUAUUAAAAAGUUCCCAGGCAGUAAUGAUUCCCAACAGAACACUAAAAGAUAUUUAGAUGUAAAAUAAUAUUAGAAAACAGUUAUGACAGUCUGAAUUUAACCACAGCUUUUUUGGGGUUGUGCAAAAACAUGACCGCUAUUAAUUACCUCUGAGUUAAAAUAAAAAGACAUCAAACUAGAUGUGAUUAACAACAGCUAAUUUUAAUUUUUCAGUGUGCUAUCCAGUCCGGCUUCUCCCUCCAAGGGCGUGGUCUGAGAAAGCCACACCCCCAACUCCACCCCGUCCAAGCUCCGCCCCUGCCAGUCUGUGCCCUCCCCGAGGCGCGUGUCCCUUACAGACCCCUCCCAGCAGCAUAAUGCAUCGAAGCCCCGCCCGCGGCUCCACCCCUAAACUCAGCCCCUGCUAAACCACGCCCCCUCAGAGCACGUGCUAUACAGAGCCCACUCUACUCUCGGCUCCACCCCUCCCUUCCUAAGCUACGCCCUCUUUGGGCGUGUCCUUCUCCCUACCCCAAGCGGCUCCUCCUAUGGGGGUGUGACACACGGAGGCCCCACCCCCUGCCCAGUUCCCCCAGGUGGGCCUCCUAAUGGGCGUGUCCUCCCAGUCCCCGCCCCUCAGCACGGAUCCCACCCCCGUGGGUGGGGCUACACCCAGCUGCGCGCGCGGCCCCCCCACCCAUGCGUGACCCUAAGUAACCCCAUGGCAGCCCUAUGGCUGCCCCACAGGUACCGCUACAGCAGCCCUGCUCCUGCCCCGCAAGAGCUCCAGACACGCCUCUGCAGAGCCCCCACAGCAGCCACUCCAGUGCCCCACAGCUAUCACCGCAGCCGCCCCAUCCCGCCCCACGGCCGCCGCUGCGGGACCCCUGGAGCCCCCGGCCCCACACCCGCCCCGCAGCCCCACAGCGCGCGGUCUCGCGGCCGCGGUGCCGGUGAAGCCACGUGCCGGCCGCGGCCGGAGGAGCCGCCGGUUUUCCCCCCCCACACCCCGAUCGCUGCUGCCGCGGCCGGAGGAGCCGCCGGUUUCCCCCCCCCCACAUCCCCCGAUCGCUGCUGCUGCCGCGGCCCGAGGAGCCGCCGGUUUUCCGCCCAGCCCCGACUCUCCUCCUUCCUCCUCAAUCGCCGCUGCAUGCCGACACGAUGCCUUCUCUUCCGCCAUCUUGUUUCCCCCUUCUCCUCUCAUUCGCUAUUUUAUACCGAGGGAGGGAGGAGGCGCUCGCUGAUUGGCUGACAGUGUCAGACUCGGAAGUCGUCCAUUGGCUCAUCCCCACGAGGGGUUCUCCGAGGGGGUGGGAGAAAGGCGCUGAUUGGUCACCGUGUCGCUGAGGGGAGGAAGGCACUGAUUGGUCACUUUCCGCCGAAGUUCGCCCUCCCAGUAACAGGCGCUGAUUCGCUAGCGCCCCUGAGGUAGAAAAGGCGCUCAUUGGUCGGCGUUUUCUCGCCGACGUUAGCCCACAGCAACGAAGCGCUGAUUGGGCAGCGCGGCUGACGGGGCGGAUCGUCCAUUGGAAGGAGGGCGGGCGGGGGGCGGGACCGGGCGGGACAACGAGGUAAUAAAUGGGGCGGCGCAGAACGCGCGCAGGACCAGAAAGGCGGAGGCGGCAGCGGCAGCGCGAGCUCAUCGGCCCCCCCCCCCCCCCCCCCCCCCCCCCCGCCCGCCGCGGGAAACCGGAGAACGGCAGGAACGGCGGCCGGAAUCAGUUAACGGGGCGGGUCAGGGCGGUAAUUAUCGUGCGGGUGUUAAUUGGGGCUCGGCGGGUUAAUGAGUGACCGGCGGGCUGGGGUGUAUCUGGGGGUUUUGAUCGGAACUGGGGUUUUAAAGCCGCGGGUUUGGGGGGGGGCGGGGGCGAUUAAGGCUCCCGAAGCCGCUUUAGCGGCUUAAAUCGUUGUGUUGAACGCGGGAGGAGCCGGUUCGGGGCUUUUCUCAGCAAGCGGGGCUGGUUUGGGUCUAAUUCGGCUUUUAAAAGAUGUUUUUACGUAAUUUUUGGGUGCCGAUUUGUGCCAGAAGGCGCCUUUGAAAUCUGUUUAUUGAGGGUUUAUCAGGAGAAUUAAAGUUUAAAGCUCGGGGAGAUUUGGGGCUUUUCCCCGGGAUUUUGAGUCCAAAUCGGUUUUUUUAGAGCCCUUAUUUAUUUAAAUUGUUAUGUUUAAAGGGUUUAUUUGAGGUUUUAUUUGGAACAUUUUGGGCGGGUCUGACGCUCCUAAGAUUUAAUUGUUGGUUUAUUAUUUGAUUUAUUAUUUCACUGCGGUUCGGGGCUCCUGAAGACGCUGAGUUGUUUCAAUUAUUUAGCGCUGUGAGGAGCCGUUUUGGGGCCGUUGGGGUCUAAAUCGGCUUUUUGAAAGGUUUAUUUAACGCGUUUAAAGUUUGAGGGGCCGAUUUGCGACUUUAAAGCUUUUUGAAUCUACUUAUUGAUAAGAAUUUAUACAAUAGAUUAAUAUUUAAAGCCCGGGGGGAGAUUUGGGGCUGUUUCCCAGGAUUGCGAGUCCAAAUGCGUUUUUUUCUGUUAACCGCUUAUUAAUUUACAUUAUUAUAUUUAAACGGGGCUUUUUGAGGUUUUAUGAGGGUUUUUUUGAGCAUUUUGGGCGGUUCUGAGGCUCCUAAAGCCGCUUAAUUGUUUAAAUUAUUAAUUGUUAAAAUAAUGUAAGUAGUUGUUGAAAUAAGUGUGUAAGUUAUUGUAUUUAAAGCCGGGAGGGGCAUUUCGUUGCUUUUUGGGGGGUUUUAGGGCUGAAUUCACUUCAUUGAACGUGUCUAGAGCUGGGGGUCCCAGAUCUGGUGCUGAUUUGGCCCCAAAAAAAGCUUUAAAAAUCUAUUUCUUUAUAUAAUUUACUGAAUUAAUAUUUAAGCGGGAACAUGUUCGGCUUUUUUAACCCGCCGCCAUUUUGUCUCCCCCGUCCCGCUCUCCCUCACGCUGAGGGGGCCGAGGAGACGCUCGCUGAUUGGCCGGUGCCGUCUGGCGGGAAAGCCUCCCCCGGCUCAGCCCCGCUCGGCUGUCUCCGAGGGAGAGAAAGGCGCUGAUUGGUCGCUGCCUCUGAGGAGAGAAAGGCGCUGAUUGGUCGCCGCCUCCCUAAACCCACCUCCUGCGCAGAGAACAGCGAAGGCAGCCUGGCCACGCCCCCUCCGGCUGACCACGCCCCCCGCUCCGGCUGACCGCGCGUGCCCCCCCCCCCCCCCCCCCCCCCCCGCAACUCGGCUGACCGCGUGCCCCCCCCAACUCCGGCUGACUGUGCCCCCCUGCCCCCCGGCUGAUCCCGUGCCCCCCCCACUGCACUCCUGCUGACUGUGCGCCCCCCCCACCUCCUCCGGCUGGCCACAUCUCCACUGCACACCAUGGCGGGGAUGGGGCGGGGGGGGAUCACAAGGGUCUAUGGGGCGGUGUGGGGGUCAGGGCGGCUGUGGGGUCAAUGGGGUUGUUGUGGGGUGAAACACCCCUGAAGAGGCUGAACACCUUGCAGGUGAGUGACCCACACAGUGCCCCACAGUGCCCCAUAGCACCUCCACUCUGCCCUACGGAUCCACAACACUGCCCCACAGCACCCUAUAGCUCCUGCUUGCUAUCCCACAGCACCCCAUGGCUUCUCCACUCUGCCCCAUAUGUCUACAGCAGUGCCACAGAGUACCUCAUAUGUCUUCCACUCUGCCCCAUGGGUGCAGAGUGCUGCCCUACAGCACCCUAUAGCUCCUGUACUCUGCCCCACAGAUCCACAGUGCUGUCCCACAGCACCCUAUAGCUCAUCUGGCCUAUAGACCCACUGUACUACCCUACAAUGCCCCAUGGCUCCUGCACUCUGCCCCAUGGAUGCCCAGUACUGCCCCACAGCACCAUAUAGGUCCUGUACUCUGCCCCAUAUAUCCACAGGAGUGCCCCCCAGCACCCCAUGGCUCCUGCACUCUGCCCCAUGGAUGCCCAGUACUGCCCAACAGCACCAUAUAGGUCCUGUACUCUGCCCCAUACAUCCACAGGAGUGCCCCCCAGCACCCUAUGGCUCCUGCAUUCUGACCCAUGGAUGCCCAGUACUGCCCCACAGCACCAUAUAGGUCCUGUACUCUGCCCCAUACAUCCACAGGAGUGCCCCCAGCACCCCAUGGCUCCUGCACUCUGCCCCAUGGAUGCCCAGUACUGCCCAACAGCACCGUAUAGCUCCUCUACUCUGCCCCAUACAUCCACAGGAGUGCCCCCCAGCACCCCAUAGUGACUCUACUCUUCCCCAUAGACCCACAGUGCUGCCGCACAGGACUCUACUCUGCCCCUUAGACCCAGAGAGCUGCCCCACAGCAGCCUGUAGGUGCUGUGUUCUGCCCCAUUGGUGCAAAGUGCUGCCCCACAGCGCCCCACACCUCUGUCCACCUGACCACCCUUCCCUCCUGACUGCGCCUGCACUGCCCACUAUGGGUGGGUCACAAGGGUCUAUGGGGCGGUGUGGGGGUCAGGGCGGCUGUGGGGUCAAUGGGGUGGUUGUGGUGUGAAACACCCCUGAAGAGGCUGAACCCCCUACAGGUGAGUGACCCACACAGUGACCCACAGCAGCCCAUAGCCCCUCUGCCCUAUAGAGUCACUGCUGCCCAUAGCUGCUUUUACUCUGCACCAUAAAUGGACAGCAGUGCUCCACAGCACCCUAUAUCUCCACUGUGCCCCAUAGACACACAGUGCUGUCCCACAGCACCCCAUAUCUUGUUCACUCUGCCCUAUAGACCCACAGUGUAACCCUACAGCACCCCAUAGUUCCUCUGCCCUAUAGAUCAACAGCACUGUCCCACAAAACACCAUAGCUUCUUCCCACUAGCCCAUAGGCCAGCAAUUCUGCCCUACAGCGCACUAGCUCCUGCACCCUAUCCCAUAGACCCACAGCAGUGCCCCCCAGAUCCAGUCUGCCCUAUACAGCCACAGCACUGCUCUGCAGCACCAUAUACUUCCAGCACUCUGCCCCAUUGAUAUGUAGCACCCCACAGCUUCUGCAUUCCACCCAUAGAUUGACGUUCCUGGGUCCCCUCACCCCACCAGCUGUCCUGGGUUGCGAUGCUGCAUGGGGCCCUGUGCACAACAAAAUGAGGACAGCAUGGCUGCUGGGUGCCACCCUGCUUGGAAUCCAAGAUGGCUGGGGGGGGAGGGCUGGCAGCCAUGCUGGCACUGCCGGAGGGGCUGUUGGUCUGCGCCGUGCUCAGGCGGCAGCUCCCGGCUGUAUCGGCUGCUCCUGUGGCCCUGCACCCUGCCCAUGGGAACAAGGUGGCUGCCCUGAUGGGCGUGGCCAUCUCGGCUGCUGUGUCCCUGCUGGUGGGUGGGGCUAUGACUGUCAUGGCUGCCAAGCCUGUGCUGGAAGGGUGGGGCUGAGGUGGGUGGGGCCUGCCUAGGGUGGCCAUUUUGGGGUGGGGCCCAAGGUGGGUGGUGGGGCCUGUGGCUCUGUUUACCCCUGACGGCCAUCUUGGAAAAGGGCAGCGCUGUGCCGCUGCCAUCCUGACGUUGCUCCCCCAGGGCCAUGUUGGGGGAUUUUUAACCUGGUUUUGGGGCCAGUUCUCACCCAAUAAAAUUAAAUAAUGUAAAAAAAC